rnacentral:rRNA from 1 species
GUAAUGCGAAGGUAACCAACCCUGAAGUUGGGCAUAGCCGCGGGAAACUGCGGGUAAUUCCCAGCGACGUUGCGAGAUGGCAUCAUUUUGCAACCAAAGGUGUGAUUCCGCUUUAGGACGGGCCUUCGUGGUAUUAGGUAGUUGGUGAGGUAACGGCUCACCAAGCCUACGAUGCCUACCGGGUGUGAGAGCAUGACCCGGCACACUGGAACUGAGACACUGUCCAGACACCUACGGGUGGCUGCAGUCGAGAAUCUUCGGCAAUGGGCGAAAGCCUGACCGAGCGACGCCGCGUGAGGGAUUGAAGGCCUUCGGGUUGUAAACCUCUUUCGUAGAGGAGGAAGGGGCUGUGAAGAACAGUCCUUGACCUAUUCUAGGAAGAAGCUUGGGCUAAGUUCGUGCCAGCAGCCGCGGUAAGACGAACCAAGCGAACGUUAUUCGGAAUUACUGGGCUUAAAGCGCGUAUAGGCGGACUACCACGUUGGUUGUUGAAAUCCCCCGGCUUAACCGGGGAACUGGCACCAAUACGAGUAGUCUGGAGGUGGGUAGGGGAGACUGGAACUUCCGGUGGAGCGGUGAAAUGCGUUGAGAUCGGAAGGAACGCCCGCGGCGAAAGCGAGUCUCUGGACCCAUACUGACGCUGAGACG